AUCCUCAUGUCUCUUGACAAUGACUUGGUCAUUGACAGAGUUGCAGAAAAAAGUGACCUGUUAAAGAAACUCUUAAUCCCCCAACAUUGAGGAAAACGCCACAGAUCCUAGCUGGGUUUUUUAAGUUACCUGUUUUUUGGCUGAGUCUGAGAAACUAGAGAGAAACUACAUCUUCUUUUCAUUAGACCUGUUUUAUUUUGGCUCAGUCAGACGGAGAAGAAACUACAGCAUCUUCUUAUUGUGAGUAUUCAAGUUCAAACCCUAUACAGU